AUUGAACGCUGGCGGAAUGCUUUACACAUGCAAGUCGAACGGCAGCACGGACUUCGGUCUGGUGGCGAGUGGCGAACGGGUGAGUAAUGUAUCGGAACGUGCCCAGUCGUGGGGGAUAACGUAGUGAAAAUUACGCUAAUACCGCAUACGAUCUAUGGAUGAAAGCGGGGGAUCGCAAGACCUCGCGCGAUUGGAGCGUCCGAUAUCAGAUUAGGUAGUUGGUGGGGUAAAGGCCCACCAAGCCAACGAUCUGUAGCUGGUCUGAGAGGACGACCAGCCACACUGGAACUGAGACACGGUCCAGACUCCUACGGGAGGCAGCAGUGGGGAAUUUUGGACAAUGGGCGAAAGCCUGAUCCAGCCAUUCCGCGUGCAGGAUGAAGGCCCUCGGGUUGUAAACUGCUUUUGUACAGAACGAAAAGGUUUCUACUAAUACUAGGAGCUCAUGACGGUACUGUAAGAAUAAGCACCGGCUAACUACGUGCCAGCAGCCGCAGUA
rnacentral:rRNA from 1 species